rnacentral:rRNA from 1 species
UAUGGUAAUUGUGUGCCGCCGCGGUAAUACGGAGGAUGCAAGCGUUAUCCGGAUUUAUUGGGUUUAAAGGGAGCGCAGACGGGUCGUUAAGUCAGCUGUGAAAGUUUGGGGCUCAACCUUAAAAUUGCAGUUGAUACUGGCGUCCUUGAGUGCGGUUGAGGUGUGCGGAAUUCGUGGUGUAGCGGUGAAAUGCUUAGAUAUCACGAAGAACUCCGAUUGCGAAGGCAGCACACUAAGCCGUAACUGACGUUCAUGCUCGAAAGUGUGGGUAUCAAACAGG